rnacentral:rRNA from 1 species
CACGGGGGAGCAAGCGUUGUUCGGAAUCACUGGGCGUAAAGGGCGUGUAGGCGGUCAGGUAAGUGGGAUGUGAAAGCCUCGGCUCACCCGGAGGAUCUGCAUCUCAAACUGCCUGGCUUGAGUAUGGGAGAGGAUGAGGGAAUUCCUGGUGUAGCGGUGAAAUGCGUAGAUAUCAGGAAGAACACCGGUGGCGAAAGCGCUCUGGCUAGGCCGCAACUGACACUGAGGGACGAAAGCUAGGGGAGCGAAUGGG